UGACAAAUUGAUAGCCACACUUUUGACAUUCUGUAUACAUUACAUCGCUAAUAUGUCAUACUCUGAAACAUGUAUCAAUAUGUUGAACAGGUGUCAAAGAGCAGAUCAUCUUUUACACACAUUAACAAGCGAAAACAGGAACACGGACAGAAAAGCUGAUAAAGUGAAGGGGGUGGUCAGUCAUUUAUCAAAGUAUUAAAUACUUUGCAUUGUGUGGUUUGGUGUAACUUUAUGAGCAUGGUGAAAGACUGGCCUGUAAUUCUGUGUGAAGGUUCAGCGUAACUUGUCAUUUCAAUGGGGCCUUCUUUUUCGUGUCAAUGUCGAAAUGGACGAGCGAAGUUGUCAGUCUGUUUAGGAAUAACAUAUAGACUCCGACUUUCCAGAUAACGGCGGUUUGACAAACUCGCUGCCUUCAUGACCGAUUGUUUUUCAUCGCCGCCGAUGAGUGUGAAAAUACAAAAUGGAGCGGACAAGCGCUGUCGCCCCAUCGUUCUUAAAUGGCAGGCUCAGUAACAAAUAUCUGCAAUAAACCUCUAUAUAAAUGUUCCAAGAUUUUGAAUGAAGGCAUAUGAGAAUAUCGUGCACUUUGUGGAUGUUUCUUUGUGAUUCGUGUCCGGAUAUUUUGUUUUCGCCUAGUAACGAUUUCUUAAUUUUGUUUUUCUAUGGGAAUAGUAUUUAUAUUCGCGUAUUUAACAGUCAUUCCGUGAAAGAAUUUCUAUUUCCCUGAAAAUAGUUGAAAGAUGUAAAUUGCAAUUGAUAAUCAUCUAAGUAUUGUUAUGUUAAACAACAUCAUAUAUUUAGAUUAUUAUUUUUAAAACCCAGUCUUUAUAUUCUGAAAUAAUGGUAAUCUAAAAUUGUUUUACUUUCUAUUCCACCUAGCUAGUAUAAGCGUCCCUUGUGUCAUACUAGUACAUACCAUCUGUUUAAUAAAUCUACUGCAUGAAUUAUGUGAUCUGUAUUUUUGUUUUGUCAUUAUUUUGUUCAUUUUGUUUUUAAAUAUUUUUUAAAUAUAUUAAUAUAGGUGCUUAAGAUAUUUUAUAUACUUAUUGAAAUUGAAGUAUAUUUGAAAACAUUUUGAACGAUUUAAUGCUUCUUACACUCGUUUUCGAUUGUUUUGUGUUUUUUU